rnacentral:ncRNA from 25 species
UAUAUGUUGUAGAGUUUAGGUGCUCAUUUAGAGUGAAAAGGGAAUUCGGUGCGAGGCCGAAGCUGUUUCCGCAACUGUAAAUGCUGAUGAAAUAAGAGAUGACCACUGUCCAUGAAAGAGUGAUGGGAAGGUUCUUAGAGUAAAAGGAAGCAUAAGCCAGGAUACCUGCCUAAUCUUGAAUGUAUUUG